rnacentral:rRNA from 1 species
UCCGUAGGUGAACCUGCGGAAGGAUCAUUGUCGAAACUGCACGAAAGAAUGACCCGCGAACCGUCACUGCCCAACGGACGGGACGCACGGGCGUGUAGCGUCCGCGUGUCUCGGGCCGUGUCGGCGCUGGCCUUCCGGGGGCCGCGUCGACCCGGCGAACAGACAUCUCCAGCACGGAUCGUGCCAAGGACCUCAACGGAGAGGAUUGUCUUCCCACGCCCUCGGUCUUCCUCGACGGGCGGCGUGGGACGCGCGAUCACGGCUCCAAGUCAGUCUAAAAUGACUCUCGGCAACGGAUAUCUCGGCUCUUGCAUCGAUGAAGAACGCAGCGAAAUGCGAUACUUGGUGUGAAUUGCAGAAUCCCGCGAACCAUCAAUUCUUUGAACGCAAGUUGCGCCUGAAGCCAUUCGGCCGAGGGCACGCCUGCCUGGGUGUCGUGAAUCCCCUUGCCUUGGGCACCCGCACGAUCAUCGGCGAGGCAUGCCCGGGCGCGGAAUGUGGUCUCCCGUCGGAUCGGCAUGCGUCGUCUUGCGGUUGGCCGAAAGUCUUACACCCGCGCGACGGGCUCCGCGGUGUUCGGUGGAUCGAACGUGAUUGGCUGCGUCGCGGUCCCGGCGUGCGGCGGUCCGAGGACUUUGGAAUCCCCGAGUGCGAUCCCAGGUCAGGCGGGGCUACCCGCUGAGUUUAAGCAUAUCAAUAAGCGGAGGAAAAGAAACUAACUAGGAUUCCCUUAGUAGCGGCGAGCGAACCGGGAGGAGCCCAGCGUGAAAAUCUUCUGCCGUCGGCGGACGAAUUGUAGUCUGGAGAAGCGUCCUCAGUGACGGACCGGGCCCAAGUUCACUGGAAGGUGGCGCCGGAGAGGGUGAGAGCCCCGUCGUGGCCGGACCCUGU